rnacentral:rRNA from 1 species
CAGUAGCCGCGGGAAUACGUAGGUGGCAAGCGUUGUCCGGAAUUAUUGGGCGUAAAGGGCUCGCAGGCGGUUUCUUAAGUCUGAUGUGAAAGCCCCCGGCUCAACCGGGGAGGGUCAUUGGAAACUGGGAAACUUGAGUGCAGAAGAGGAGAGUGGAAUUCCACGUGUAGCGGUGAAAUGCGUAGAGAUGUAGAGGAACACCAGUGGCGAAGGCGACUCUCUGGUCUGCAACUGACGCUGAGGAGCGAAAGCGUGGGGAGCGAACAGGAUUAGAUACCCGUGUAGUCCCUGUCUCUUAUAC